AGCGGUGGAGCAUGUGGUUUAAUUCGAAGCAACGCGAAGAACCUUACCAUGCCUUGACAUCCUCAGACAACCCUAGAGAUAGGGCGUUCCCCUUCGGGGGUCAGAGACACAGGUGGCACAUGGUUGUUCUCCAUCUCGUGUCGAAAGAUGGGGGUAAAUGUCCCACAGAGAGCGCCCCCCUUCAUCUGAGUCCACCGCAUUCAGUUGGGCACUCCAAGGAGACUGCCGGUGACAAACCGGAGGAAGGUGGGGAUGACGUCAAAUCAUCAUGCCCCUUACGGCAUAGGGCUACACACGUGCUACAAUGGAGCGGUACAAAGGGCAGCGAGACCCGCGAUGUUGAAGCCAAUCCCAUAAAUCCAUUCUCAGUUCGGAUUGCAGUCUGCAACUCGCCUCCAUGAAGCCGGAAUCGCUAGUAAUCG
rnacentral:rRNA from 1 species